CGAAAGCACCUAGUAGUUCUUACAAUUUCAUAACAAUAUCAGCAAUUUUCGUACAUGGAUGUACGAAAAAGGUGAUACUGAGCCUGGACGGCGAAUUAUCACCGAUUGCGUUAUGCCUUUUGGAAGAAAAUUGAAAUUGUUAGAACUUCUUUGUGCUGG
rnacentral:ncRNA from 1 species